UGGGGAAUAUUGGACAAUGGGCGCAAGCCUGAUCCAGCCAUACCGCGUGGGUGAAGAAGGCCUUCGGGUUGUAAAGCCCUUUUGUUGGGAAAGAAAAGCAGUCGGCUAAUACCCGGUUGUUCUGACGGUACCCAAAGAAUAAGCACCGGCUAACUUCGUGCCAGCAGCCGCGGUAAUACGAAGGGUGCAAGCGUUACUCGGAAUUACUGGGCGUAAAGCGUGCGUAGGUGGUUGUUUAAGUCUGUUGUGAAAGCCCUGGGCUCAACCUGGGAAUUGCAGUGGAUACUGGACGACUAGAGUGUGGUAGAGGGUAGUGGAAUUCCCGGUGUAGCAGUGAAAUGCGUAGAGAUCGGGAGGAACAUCCAUGGCGAAGGCAGCUACCUGGACCAACACUGACACUGAGGCACGAAAGCGUGGGGAGCAAACA
rnacentral:rRNA from 1 species